rnacentral:rRNA from 1 species
GACGAACGCUGGCGGCGUGCUUAACACAUGCAAGUCGAACGGAAAGGCCCUGCUUUUGUGGGGUGCUCGAGUGGCGAACGGGUGAGUAACACGUGAGUAACCUGCCCUUGACUUUGGGAUAACUUCAGGAAACUGGGGCUAAUACCGGAUAGGAGCUCCUGCUGCAUGGUGGGGGUUGGAAAGUUUCGGCGGUUGGGGAUGGACUCGCGGCUGAUCAGCUUGUUGGUGGGGUAGUGGCUUACCAAGGCUUGGACGGGUAGCCGGCCUGGGAGGGUGACCGGCCACAUUGGGACGGAGAUACGGCCCAGACUCGUACGGGAGGCAGCAGUGGGGAAUAUUGCACAAUGGGCGGAAGCCUGAUGCAGCAACGCCGCGUGCGGGAUGACGGCCUUCGGGUUGUAAACCGCUUUCGCCUGUGACGAAGCGUGAGUGACGGUAAUGGGUAAAGAAGCACCGGCUAACUACGUG